ensembl:lncRNA MIR4435-2HG MIR4435-2 host gene
CUUAGUCGUGUGUACAUCAUUGGGAAUGGAGGGAAAUAAAUGACUGGAUGGUCGCUGCUUUUUAAGUUUCAAAUUGACAUUCCAGACAAGCGGUGCCUGAGCCCGUGCCUGUCUUCAGAUCUUCACAGCACAGUUCCUGGGAAGGUGGAGCCACCAGCCUCUCCCUGCCCUAGCAGAUGCUAAUCCAGCGUGCGUCCUGGCAGAGGUUGAAGGGGGCUCCUCAAGUCCCAGGUCCAGCUUGGUGUGGUUCAGCUACUCGAGAGACAUCUGCUGCUAAUGGAUGAGCAGUCAACCUGGACGCAGGAAAUCAUUUUUUAUUUGGGGCAAAGAGGCAGAGGAAUGGAGCUCAGAGCUUUUAGAGAAUAUGGGCCAGAAACAGGAAGGAGUCAGGACCUGAUAACGGGAACCAGCGGACAGUGAACGCAGUGGAGGGCCACUGGGGCCGGAGCAGCCGAGAGAUUUCAGGAGAAUAACUGGGAGAUGAAACAGGAAGCUCUAUGACACACUUGAUCGAAUAUGACAGACACUGAAAAUCACGACUCAUCCCCCUCCAGCACCUCUACCUGUUGCCCGCCGAUCACAGCCGGAAUGCAGCUGAAAGAUUCCCUGGGGCCUGGUUCCAACUGCCCACUGUGGACUCUGAGGCCUCUGCAUUUGCGGGUGGUCUGCCUGUGAUAUUUUGGUCAUGGGCUGGUCUGGUCGGUUUCCCAUUUGUCUGGCCAGUCUCUGUGUGUCUUAAUCCCUUGUCCUUCAUUAAAAGCAAAACUAAAGAAAACA